rnacentral:rRNA from 1 species
UACGUAGGGGGCAAGCGUUGUCCGGAAUCAUUGGGCGUAAAGAGCGCGUAGGCGGCCCUGUAAGUCCGCUGUGAAAGUCAAGGGCUCAACCCUUGAAUGCCGGUGGAUACUGCAGGGCUAGAGUCCGGAAGAGGCGAGUGGAAUUCCUGGUGUAGCGGUGAAAUGCGCAGAUAUCUGGAGGAACACCGGUGGCGAAGGCGGCAUCCUGGACCGGCAUUGACGCUGAGGCGCGAAAGCCAGGGGAGCAAACGGG